rnacentral:rRNA from 1 species
UAUUGCUGCUUGUCACAGCUGAUCUCGUCUGAUCUCAGAAGCUAAGCAGGACUGAGUCUGGUUAGUACUUGGACAGGAGGUACCAGGUACCGCCAUGU